rnacentral:rRNA from 1 species
UGGCUCAGGACGAACGCUGGCGGCGUGCCUAACACAUGCAAGUCGAACGGGACUUGGCCCUUCGGGGACAAGUUUAGUGGCGGACGGGUGAGUAACGCGUGAGCAACCUGCCUUUCAGAGGGGGACAACAGUUGGAAACGACUGCUAAUACCGCAUGACGCUUUUAGGAGGCAUCUCCAAAAAGUCAAAGAUUUAUCGCUGAAAGAUGGGCUCGCGUCUGAUUAGAUAGUUGGUGGGGUAACGGCCUACCAGGUCAACGAUCAGUAGCCGGACUGAGAGGUUGAACGGCCACAUUGGGACUGAGAUACGGCCCAGACUCCUACGGGAGGCAGCAGUGGGGAAUAUUGGGCAAUGGGGGAAACCCUGACCCAGCAACGCCGCGUGAAGGAAGAAGGCCUUCGGGUUGUAAACUUCUUUUACCAGGGACGAAGAACGUGACGGUACCUGGAGAAAAAGCCACGGCUAACUACGUGCCAGCAGCCGCGGUAAUACGUAGGUGGCAAGCG